GCAGAGCAAUGGAGGCUCAUUUCCAAUAAGAUUUCGUGGCUGUACGUAAUGUGUUAUUGAGCGUGUGAAAAGUGAAGAUUUCCGUGUGAUAGUGAUACUUUUCUCGACCGUGAACGCCAGUGAACACAUUGCCGUAGAUCUCUACUGGCAUGGAGCUAGGAGCGCACUGAUAGUGAUAGUCUACGAGAUCUUGGUUUCUAUGCAUUGCCUGCCAAAGAAGAACUGAGCCCAAUGUUUCCACACAAUUCUAGUUCACAUGAGAUUUCUACUGAAACAAAUGCCUUCGUACAAAAUUCCAAGGGGGAUGUAGUAUUAUUAAUGGCAAGUUGUCCGAGUGGGGUGGAGGAGGGGAAAAGACCAGAUAGCGUUAGGUCCUGUGAUAUCGAAUCCACAAACAACAGUACUAUGGCACGACCUACCAGCCACCCCGUCGCUACCACCACCAAUGACUUCUUAACCGUCCUGCCACGCCAAUCUGGUGAGCUUGGCUCAGCGGCUAAAGGCAAGGCCUGCCAGUCAGUGGCGUCAGCAAUCACAAAAAAUCCAACAAAUCACUUUCUAAUCUACGAUAAUAAUAAAAUAAAUAACCACAACAAUGCAGAACAUAAUCAUCACAAAUACAGAAAGCAAAACAAACCGGGUUCGCCUGGGCAGCUGGGAAGCUCCGCCGAUAACUCUAAGUCUAUUUCUAAGCUCUUAAGUGAUAAUAAGGAUAGCUUUAGUGAUCUAAGCAUUAGGGUACUACAACUAAGUCUAAAUUUAAAGGUGACAAGGGGCGAAGUACGUGAAUCUGCGGGGGAGCCUAGCCUAGUUAGGAUACCCAAGUCUGAUUGCCCCCCGUGGCUGUCGCACGAAUCGUCCGUUGUCGAGAAUUACUCCUUACUAGGGUCCCGCCUUGAUAAGGGCGAAAACAAUAACCUUAAGGCUAAUCUUAGUUUCGUAAGUAAUAAUAAUUACUCCAAAUCUGUGAUAUUGCUCAGCUCAACCCGCGACGGAGACUACUAUCUGCGCUCCGAAAGCGGCGGUGUCGGAGAAGGCACAGCUCUCGAAAAUUUUCGAUUCAAAAAUAAUUCUUCAAGCCGAUGGGAAAGUGUGAAAUUACUAGCUGUUAAGUACUCUCCUGUUACCAAGCAUGAUGGGGCGUGCAGAAAAUUGACCCAAAAUGAUCUUCAAAAUGUUAAACUUGUGAUCUUAUACUCAGAUUGCCAUCUCUCUUACAAAGAUCAUCAUUUCCAGGAUUCUCAAAGUGAUCUUGACACAACUGAUAUUUGGUUCAAUCGACCAAAGUUUGUCACAAAACUCUUAAAACUGCAUUUUGACAAUAUCGAUACAUUAGAGUUGUUGUCCCUCGCACAAGCUCGGAAUUUCGACAUCUGUUCUUCCAAUUCGCUUAUCGUUACGACAAACGAAUCCACCUCUCUGCUGCGAUCUUUGACCGAAGAAAAUCUUACGAAAGUUCAACCUUCUCGACACGCUACUGUGAACGAGCUGAUGCAACGCAUAUGUGUUCCAUUAAUGAUAGAAUGUAAGGUUUAUGUUAACAACGGUAGUAAUAAUAACAAUAAUAAUAACAACAAUAUUAUUAUUGGAGAAGAAAUGAAUAUUAAUAACAAUAAUCCAGAUGUUAUCGAAGACAUUGUUAACGUCGCUGUGUGCUACAAGACUAGUUGUACUAUGACUACUAAUUAUAGGCUAGGGUUUCAAAAUGAUGGUAUUAGCUAUACCCAAGCAACAAUGUUUACUGUUGGUGCUCUUUCAUUUCAGGAUAACAAUAAGUCUAACAAGCCUCUACACGCUAGCUUUAAGGAUGAUAAUUAUCAAGUGUCUGCUAAGAUCGACGAUAAGUUUAACUUUAACCUUAAGUCUGUAUCUAAGUCUACGCUAAGUGUUAGGUUUAGUGAUAAGUCUGAAACGUCUCACGCUACUCGACUCAACAAAUCUGACGAAAAAAUGCACGUUCUGUCGGCUGUUAACAUUCCUACACUGACUACCUGCGAGCCUACGAUGACGCUUAAAUGCCAACCAGCCACCGUCGCAUCCCAAACUAACACUGUACCUGCCUCUCAAGUGGAGAAACACUCAAAAGUUGAUUAUAAAACUGUACUGUUGAAAUCAAGUUACCUUACAUAUGACCAGGAAUCAACUACAAGUAACAGAAAUUCAUCAGACCAUGACCAAAAUGAUAAUGACUUCGUCUCCCUUAACGAGGAAUCUUACGAAAACGACAUUGGUUUUUCAAACCCAUUGAAGAACGAUGAAUAUGAUAACGAUAAUGAAGAUGAUGAUGAUGACAACGACGACCACCACGACGAUAUCACACCCAAGAAUAUCUUACAAUCUGCAAAAUAUUACCAGAUGACAUCAUUCCAUGAUGGCUGUGCUGACCGUAACAAUGAUGAUUGCAACGAUAACGGCGAACUGUUCAACACCAACAGCCCGACCUCAGAUAUCCAAAAACCGAUAGACUUGUUUGCAAACGUGCGUGACCUGCUCUCUAGCUAUCAAAAAGCUUACAAAAGCGACUCGGCACAAAGUGAAAUUCUCUGUGAACAAUUAAGAAAAGCUCUGCAAAGUAUGUUCAAUCGUCCAAAUUCUUGCAACGAAAUGUAUCAAUCUUCACUGGGAUACAAGAAAAGAUGGGGAAUACCGAUAAUCUCAGGCUUGGCUGGGGGCGGAGAAAGUUCGCUGAACACUGGAACUGCCGCUAGCUGGGGAACAGCACCACCUGCGGCGCCUAACAACAAUAAUGCCACUCAAUCCGGCUGGGGUGGAACACCGGGAAAUCCACCGGUAGGCACUGGACCACCGAAUAACUGGGGUGGCAAUAAUGUGAAUCGACCAGUCACCGCAAAUCCCAAUCAGAAUCAGAAUCAAGGACCGCCUAGUAGCCAGAACAUCCCAGGUGAGGGUAAUGUGAACAAAGUAACCAAUCCAAACCAAUCUCAAAAUCCACAAUCUGGACCACCUACAUCUCAGUCAACUAACUCAACAUCAGGGAACCAGAAUAACGGACAGUGGCCUCAGGGAAAAUCCAGCAAUCCUGGAGGACCUACUCAAAAUCAAUCUUCUCAGAAUAACAACAACCCGUCUCAACAACCCACGCAGCCAGGAAGUAAUGCUAAUAACAAUCCGACUAACAGUGCAACGUCGUCGACUGGAAACAACGCGACAACAGCUGCUAGCAACAAUCCUUCUUCAAAGCAACAACUCGAACAAUUGAACACCAUGCGAGAAGCCUUGUUCAGUCAAGACGGCUGGGGUUGUCAACACGUGAAUCAAGAUACGAGCUGGGAAGUUCCAUCAUCUCCGGAACCGAGUAUGACCAAAGAUGGCGUUCCCAUGUGGAAACCACCUGUGAACAAUGGUACAGAUUUGUGGGAAGCUAACUUACGAAACGGAGGACAACCGCCUCCUCAACAACAAGCCAAAACACCAUGGGGACACACUCCUUCAACAAAUAUUGGUGGUACUUGGGGUGAGGAUGACGAUGCUGCUGAUUCGUCAAACAUGUGGACUGGAGCGCCGACUCCUAAUCAGCCCAAUACAGCUCAGUGGCCUGGAGCAGCUACCAACCAGUCCAGUGGCAUGUCUGGCGGUGGGUCCAGUUGGGGUGAUCCAAGAAUGGAUCCCAGGGAUCCUCGAGACUUGAGAACGGUAGACCCGAGAGAAAUGCGUGAUCCACGAGAUCAUAGAAUAUCCCUAGACCCACGAGAUCAUAUGAGAGUAAUGGACCCCAUGAGCCGUGAUCCACGAAUGCCCGAUAUGCGUGGCGAUCCGCGCGGUAUUUCUGGCCGUCUGAAUGGCGCAAGUGCCGAUGCCAUGUGGGGACAACCACCAGGACCACCGCAUCACCAAAUGAGUCACCAACACCCGACGGGACCCCCUGCAAAGAUGGUAAAUCCAUCCAGUAUAAACCAGUGGGCAGCGCCACCGCCCAAAGAAAUGAUGCCAGGAAAGCCGUCUGGAUGGGAAGAACCUUCGCCGCCUACUCAGCGUAGGAAUGUUCCAAAUUACGACGACGGUACUAGCCUCUGGGGUAAUCCAGCUCCAAACCCACGUCCAAUGCCAGGUAGCAAAGUUUCCCACUGGAAAGAUCUACCGACACCGAAUCUGGGCCGUGGAGGAAUGCCCUGCCCACCUGGUAUGCCGCAAAACCGAAUGCCUGGACAGCCAGGCAUGAAACCGGAUGUCGGUGGCCCAAUGUGGGGCCAUCCAACUGGCCCUGGUGGAAGUGGCGGUGGAGGCGGAGCGGGAGGCGGUGGCGGCGGUACGGGCGGUGGUGGAGGUGCUGGGCGCAAUGGAUCCUGGGGAGAUGGGCCUCACGACACUGCUGGUUGGGAAGACCAAAAAACGCCUGCUGCUUGGAACGAGCCCCAGAUAAAUCCUCCUUCUUCAUGGGGAGGCCCGACGAGUCAUAAACCAAAACCUAUGGGACCCACCGGAGGGUGGGGAGACACAGACAUGGACCCGACGACAAGCUGGGCUCAUCCACCGAAACAAAUACUCACCAAAGAAGUUAUUUGGAAUAGCAGAGAGUUCAGAUAUCUCUGUGAUCUUGGCUACAAGAAGGAAGAUGUGGAAACUGCAUUAAGAAAUCGCGAAAUGAACAGAGACGAAGCACACGAACUUCUCAUUCAAGUACGUCCUCAAGAUCAUUGGCGUCGUCAAGACAGUCAUACUGGAUACGAUCCUGCUAGUCAAUCUGCUGCCGCUGCCGGAUAUCCGCCACGGUUUAAUCACGUUGCCCAACAGAUAUCUUUCCCACCGGGGGCCGGAAUGCCUAGCGUGGGGGCCUCUGGUGGUAUGAGUGGUUCAGUCGCCAGCGCCAGUCUCCUCAAGCUCCAACAACAACAGCAACAACAAGCAGCUGUACAGUUGCAGCAACAACAGCCCAGUGUCACGGCGGCGCCGCAGCCACCUUUCAAUCAGACAUCAAGAACACCACAAAAUCAACCAAGUACCCAACAACUCCGAAUGCUCGUACAACAAAUUCAAUUGGCUGUUCAGGAAGGCUAUUUGAAUCAUCAGAUAUUGAACCAGCCAUUGGCUCCGCAGACUUUAAUCCUGCUUAACCAGCUAUUGCAGCAAAUCAAAGUGCUACAACAAUUGCAUCAGCAACAUUCAGUGCAGUUAUCUCUGAAAGGAAACAGUCAAACCGGGCUGCAGAUUAGCGUACAGAUAACUAAGACUAAACAACAGAUCGCGAAUCUGCAGAAUCAAAUUGCAGUUCAACAAGCAACGUACAUGAAACAACAACAGCAGCAACAGCAUCCAGCAGCACCAUCUCAAGCAUCGGAUUACUACAAAACAUCUGUACAUGAUCCUAUGUCUGCGUUGCAAAAUACCUUCAGUGACUUAACUAUGAACAAGGAACCUCAAGUGAGUCAACAACAGUCUCGUUUGAAUCAGUGGAAACUACCAUCCCUGGACAAAGAAAGCGAUCUUGGUACUAAUGAAUUUUCACGAGCUCCUGGUACUACGAGCAAACCGCCGACUACACCAGGUGGUCUCACUCAAUCACACAGCAGUCCUAACAUGAAUCCUUUACUAGGACAAGGAGACGGGACCUGGUCUUCUAGACUUGGUGACAGCGGAUGGCCAGACGCUGGUACCAGUGAUUCUACAGAUGGGAAAGACUGGCAACCGGGUGUUGCUGCUUUCACUGAUCUGGUACCAGAGUUUGAACCUGGCAAGCCAUGGAAGGGGAAUCAGAUGAAGAGCAUUGAGGAUGAUCCAAGUAUUACUCCCGGAUCAGUUGUACGCUCGCCUUUGUCGCUUGCUGCAAUCAAAGAUCCCGACGCAAUAUUUUCAUCGAGCACCAAAACCUCGCCGCCACCUUCAGCCAAUGCAGACACUUCGAUCCCCAGUCUAAGUAACUCGACUUGGAGUUUCAAUCCACCGGCAACGACACCCAGCGGUUUUGCUAGUUCUAAGAAUACCUGGGGUGAAGCUGCUCCACCGCCUACCGCUGUUACUUCUGAGUUGUGGGGCGCUCCGAUGAGCAAAGCCCGAGGACCUCCCCCUGGAUUAGGAAGCAAGGGCGGUGCAAGUGCCAGCAAUGGUUGGGGCGGUUUGGCCGGAGUCAAUCGUUCGUCCAGUUCGUGGGGUCUCCAGUCCGGCGCCGUUGGUAACACUGCCUGGGUCUCAACUUGGCUUUUGCUGAAAAACUUGACGCCACAAAUCGAUGGAUCUACACUGAAGACGUUGUGCAUGCAGCAUGGGCCUGUACAAGACUUCAGACUGUACUUGAACCACGGAAUUGCUUUGGCUAAAUAUUCGUCGAGAGAUGAAGCUAUCAAGGCACAAGGAGCACUGAACAACUGCGUUCUUGGCAACACGACAAUAUUUGCCGAAUCUCCUGCUGACAGUGAGGUUCACACACUGUUGCAACAACUCGGCCAUGGCGGUCAGCAACAAACCGCUGGAUCGGCGGGUUCCGGAUGGGGUCUUAGACCUACUAGCAAAGCCGGUCCACCACCAGACACGUGGGGCGGUAGCUCAAGUCAGCUUUGGGGAGCCCCACCCGGUGGUAAUUCACUGUGGAGUAACACAGGCAUUGAUAGCGGCGAUCAACAAAGAGCUACGCCAAGCUCGUUGAACUCUUACCUGCCCGGAGAUCUUUUGGGAGGUGAGUCCAUGUAGGCAGCUCCCAAUAUCAUGCGAAAUAAGACACGAAAUACUCAAUACAUGACGAAAGUCGAGAAAGAAUGGUAUAAAACGAUGUAACUUCGAUAAAUUUACGACUCGCAUUUCUACUACGAUUGUGACCAUACGCGUACAUACACACAUAUAUAUAUAUAUAUAUAUAUGUAUGAUAUAUAUAUAUAUAUAUAUAAUAUUCUCCAUACGUAGGGUUUUUCUCAUAAUUUAAGGAAUCGUUGCACAGUAUAACAGAGAGCUCGUACCACUGAUACAAGACAAUGAUGAAUCCUUGUGUGAACUGAAAUAGUCAAUUUUUAAAUAUCUGAUGAGUGAAAAUUAUAAUCGAUUUAAAAGGAAGCAGAAAGAAAUAACGCACGAGACAAGGAGAUGGAAAUGAACGAAUGUAGAAUAAAAAAGACUAAAUACAGACUAACAAGAAGAAAAGAAAAACAAAACCAAUAAGAAAUAAUCUUUGGACUGUGGAAACAACUGAGAGAUCCUCAAAAUUCUUUGCGACUGAUCGGAUUUUAAUAAUUCCUAAAUUAUUAUCUAAGAUCCACUGACAUUUCCACCGACAUAUCCGUCAACAGGAACGACCUCUUUGUAUCGAUCUGUGAUCUCUGAAUAAAUCAGUGAAUAAGUCUGGUUCUGUGGCCACUGACUGUGCUAUGUUAUUGGUUGUACGCUGUACCUAUGAGGCAGCACCUUAAUAAUUCCUUAUUACUGCUCUUAAUACCACUUAUUAUAAUUAAAUAAUAAGAUACUCUUAUUAAUUGUUUGUAUUUUAAUUUUUUAUGAAACUUAACUUUCUUAGUCGAAUGGAUACUUACGGAGUCAGUGGACGAGAUGUGUACGGAUGAUUCAAAAUCACGUUCCAAGGCUCAAAUUGACCAAAAAUCUAAUAUUUAUAAAUUACUCAAUUAUC